AGUACGGCCGCAAGGUUAAAACUCAAAUGAAUUGACGGGGGCCCGCACAAGCGGUGGAGCAUGUGGUUUAAUUCGAUGCAACGCGAAGAACCUUACCUACUCUUGACAUCCAGAGAACUUUCCAGAGAUGGAUUGGUGCCUUCGGGAACUCUGAGACAGGUGCUGCAUGGCUGUCGUCAGCUCGUGUUGUGAAAUGUUGGGUUAAGUCCCGCAACGAGCGCAACCCUUAUCCUUUGUUGCCAGCGGUCCGGCCGGGAACUCAAAGGAGACUGCCAGUGAUAAACUGGAGGAAGGUGGGGAUGACGUCAAGUCAUCAUGGCCCUUACGAGUAGGGCUACACACGUGCUACAAUGGCGCAUACAAAGAGAAGCGACCUCGCGAGAGCAAGCGGACCUCAUAAAGUGCGUCGUAGUCCGGAUUGGAGUCUGCAACUCGACUCCAUGAAGUCGGAAUCGCUAGUAAUCGUGGAUCAGAAUGCCACGGUGAAUACGUUCCCGGGCCUUGUACACACCGCCCGUCACACCAUGGGAGUGGGUUGCAAAAGAAGUAGGUAGCUUAACCUUCGGGAGGGCGCUUACCACUUUGUGAUUCAUGACUGGGGUGAAGUCGUAACAAGGUAACCGUAGGGGAACCUGCGGUUG
rnacentral:rRNA from 1 species